AACUGAUACUACCUGCGGGAACCUGCGGAGGGAUCAUUACCGAGUCUUUGUGCUCAAAACAACCCUUCUGUGGACCUGAAUAAAACCGUUGCCUCGGCAGGCGGCUCUACCUACGAGCCAGAUAGCUCAGUUGUCUCUAGGGAGCAACCCUCUCUGAGACGCUGGCGCCAGCCGCUGGCCUCAAACCAAAACUCUAGUAACUUUUACCUUCUGAGUUUUAAUGCAAGAAAUAAAAGUCAA
rnacentral:misc_RNA from 1 species